UACGAAGGGGGCUAGCGUUGUUCGGAUUUACUGGGCGUAAAGCGCACGUAGGCGGAUUGUUAAGUCAGGGGUGAAAUCCUGGAGCUCAACUCCAGAACUGCCUUUGAUACUGGCAAUCUUGAGUCCGGAAGAGGUGAGUGGAACUCCUAGUGUAGAGGUGGAAUUCGUAGAUAUUAGGAAGAACACCAGUGGCGAAGGCGGCUCACUGGUCCGGUACUGACGCUGAGGUGCGAAAGCCAGGGGAGCAAACGGG
rnacentral:rRNA from 1 species